UUUACUCAAAGUGUUUUUGGCGUUUUCAGAUUACUUGAGAAACUAAAAUACAUAUAUCACAACACAAACACAUAUAUUUUUACAUGAACAUAUUUAACACAGGGAUUAUAGAACACACAUAACCACACGUAUAUGAAGAAGGUACUACACGACGAUUCAAAUUACACAAAUGAAAACACAAACAAAAUUAACAAGCCACUAGACUGGUACUCACAGAUGAACAAAAUCGUACGUACUAAACAACUAAAAACAAGUAGUAAAAUUAGCUAGUACGGGGAGCAAGUACACUUAGAAUCUGAACAAUACAAAGUAUUACACCUCUGAACAGUACAACAAUUUCAGAUGGAGAUUGAGAGAGAGAGAUUAACAACAACUAGUUGAAGGUGAGGAGCAGCAGUUCAGAGUGGAGAAGGAGCAUCAGCAGCAAUUUGGAGAGGAGGAGAGACUCAGCAGUGGGAUAAAAGUAGCAGCAAGAGGGAGGUUGAGAGGAGGAGGUGCAUCAGCGAGGUAAGGGAAGAAGAGGUUCAGGUUAGGAG
rnacentral:lncRNA from 1 species